rfam:Gossypium raimondii chromosome 9, whole genome shotgun sequence.
GUGAGGAUAGCUCAUUGGGAGAGCGUCAGAAUGAAGAUCUGAAGAUCAUGUGUUCGGUCCACGUUCAUCACA